CCGAAGGAGUUGUGACGGUUCACGAGUGAGAAUGCAGGCAUGAGUAGCGAUUCACACGUGAGAAACGUGUGCGCCGAUUGACUAAGGGUUCCUGGGUCAAGCUGAUCUGCCCAGGGUAAGUCGGGACCUAAGGCGAGGCCGACAGGCGUAGUCGAUGGAUAACCGGUUGAUAUUCCGGUACCCGCUGUGAAGCGUCAAACAUCGAAUCCAGUGAUGCUAAGCCCGUGAAGCCGUUCCGGACCCUUCGG
rnacentral:ncRNA from 1 species